CCGGGCAUUGCCUCAGUAACGGCGAGUGAAGCGGCAACAGCUCAAAUUUGAAAUCUGGCCCUAGGCCCGAGUUGUAAUUUGCAGAGGAUGCUUUUGGUGCGGUGCCUUCCAAGUUCCCUAGAACGGGACGCCAGAGAGGGUGAGAGCCCCGUACAGUUGGACACCAAGCCUUUGUAAAGCUCCUUCGACGAGUCGAGUAGUUUGGGAAUGCUGCUCAAAAUGGGAGGUAUAUUUCUUCUAAAGCUAAAUACCGGCCAGAGACCGAUAGCGCACAAGUAGAGUGAUCGAAAGAUGAAAAGCACUUUGAAAAGAGGGUUAAACAGCACGUGAAAUUGUUAAAAGGGAAGCGCUUGUGACCAGACUUGCGUCCGGUGAAUCACCCAGCUCUCGCGGCUGGGGCACUUCGCCGGCUCAGGCCAGCAUCAGCUCGCUGUCGGGGACAAAAGCUUCAGGAACGUAGCUCUCUUCGGGGAGUGUUAUAGCCUGUUGCAUAAUACCCUUCGGCGGGCUGAGGUACGCGCUCCGCAAGGAUGCUGGCAUAAUGGUCAUCAGCGACCCGUCUAAAAACACU
rnacentral:rRNA from 1 species